UGGGGAAUAUUGGACAAUGGGCGCAAGCCUGAUCCAGCAAUGCCGCGUGUGUGAAGAAGGCCUGCGGGUUGUAAAGCACUUUCAGUUGGGAGGAAGGUCUUACCGUUAAUAAACAAGAAAAUUGACGUUACCGACAGAAGAAGCACCGGCUAACUCUGUGCCAGCAGCCGCGGUAAUACAGAGGGUGCGAGCGUUAAUCGGAAUUACUGGGCGUAAAGGGUGCGUAGGUGGUCUUUUAAGUCAGAUGUGAAAACCCUGGGCUUAACCUAGGAAUGGCAUUUGAUACUGGAAGACUAGAGUGCGGAAGAGGAAAGUGGAAUUUCAGGUGUAGCGGUGAAAUGCGUAGAUAUCUGAAGGAACAUCAGUGGCGAAGGCGACUUUCUGGUCCGAUACUGACACUGAGGCACGAAAGCGUGGGGAGCAAACAGGAUUAGAUACCCCCGUAGUCC
rnacentral:rRNA from 1 species